rnacentral:rRNA from 1 species
CAAGAGUAACUGCUUGCACCUUGACGGUACCUAACCAGAAAGCCACGGCUAACUACGUGCCAGCAGCCGCGGUAAUACGUAGGUGGCAAGCGUUGUCCGGAAUUAUUGGGCGUAAAGGGCUCGCAGGCGGUUUCUUAAGUCUGAUGUGAAAGCCCCCGGCUCAACCGGGGAGGGUCAUUGGAAACUGGGAAACUUGAGUGCAGAAGAGGAGAGUGGAAUUCCACGUGUAGCGGUGAAAUGCGUAGAGAUGUGGAGGAACACCAGUGGCGAAGGCGACUCUCUGGUCUGUAACUGACGCUGAGGAGCGAAAGCGUGGGGAGCGAACAGGAUUAGAUACCCUGGUAGUCCACGCCGUAAACGAUGAGUGCUAAGUGUUAGGGGGUUUCCGCCCCUUAGUGCUGCAGCUAACGCAUUAAGCACUCCGCCUGGGGAGUACGGUCGCAAGACUGAAACUCAAAGGAAUUGACGGGGGCCCGCACAAGCGGUGGAGCAUGUGGUUUAAUUCGAAGCAACGCGAAGAACCUUACCAGGUCUUGACAUCCUCUGACAACCCUAGAGAUAGGGCUUUCCCUUCGGGGACAGAGUGACAGGUGGUGCAUGGUUGUCGUCAGCUCGUGUCGUGAGAUGUUGGGUUAAGUCCCGCAACGAGCGCAACCCUUGAUCUUAGUUGCCAGCAUUUAGUUGGGCACUCUAAGGUGACUGC